ACGGCUCACACACGCACUGGCGGGCUGAUACCGAGCUCGUCGUGACUCUACACGCUCCAGCUACGCCGACGGACAAGUCCCACAUCGCCGCGUGCCGUCGUCGCUCCUCCCGACCUCGCCAUCUCGCCGACACUCUGCGCCCGCAGUACUCGCUCAAAACAGCGCUGGCGGGUUUGUGAACGCGCUCAUCUUGCUCACAAACACCGCAGCAACCGAUCACAACCGCGACAGCUACACCGCUCGACUCCUCCCGACGCAGUCGAAACUUUUCCUCCAUUCCAUCCGCUUCCCCUCCCUCUUCCCUCGCGUACCCACACCUAGCCAUUUUCUUUCCACCUGCCUCGUCUCCUUUGACCAGGAGAACGCGCGCUGCGGGGCCCACUGGUUCCUCGAGGACUGGUCCGUCUCGCGGCGUGCGGGUUCUAGGGGCAGCGUGGCCAUUCAGGUGGCUUAGAUUCAACAGCAUCGGUCGCGGUCGUUCGCUGCGUCUUCUAUCGGCUUUUUGUGCGAUGGGAGGCGCGGGCGGGAUGGGCGCAGCUUUCGGGUGUCCCGGUCGGAGGAGAAGCUGUAGACCUCACUCUUCUGUGCAAUGGGCUUCAGGCCUCCAUCGCGUUUUUUCGCCCUU
rnacentral:misc_RNA from 1 species